GGGCAGCUCGGCCAGGGUGAAGAGUGAAGCCCGUGAGGGAAUGGAGCAUGCGCAUUCGCGAGGGCGAGGCCAAGUGCUGGCAGGGAGCGUGCGCAGUGUGAAGGUACAAUCGGCUACGUGGGAACCCGGGACAUGCUCGGAUCUAUGAAAGAUAAAAUGUGGUGUGAGGACACGGCCCAGCCCCACCGUCGUCUUCCAGCCCCACCAUCGUCUUCCAGCCCCACCGUCGUCUUCCAGUCCCACCGUCGUCUUC
ensembl:lncRNA ZNF295-AS1 ZNF295 antisense RNA 1